rnacentral:rRNA from 1 species
GAUGAACGCUGACAGAAUGCUUAACACAUGCAAGUCUUUGGCGAAGCUGUGCUUGCACAGCCUAGCCAAGGCGGACGGGUGAGUAACGCGUAAGGAACUUGCCCUGCAGUCAGGGAUAACAGACGGAAACGACUGAUGAGACCUGGUAAAGUCAGGCGGACUCAUGUCCAGCCUGAUGAAAAGAGAUGCUGCAGGAGAGCCUUGCGUCCUAUUAGCUUGUUGGUGGGGUAACGGCCCACCAAGGCGAUGAUAGGUAGCCGGCCUGAGAGGGUGGACGGCCACAAGGGGACUGAGAUACGGCCCUUACUCCUACGGGAGGCAGCAGUGGGGAAUAUUGGACAAUGGGGGCAACCCUGAUCCAGCAAUUCUGUGUGCACGAUGAAGGUUUUCGGAUUGUAAAGUGCCUUCAGCAGGGAGGAAAAAAAUGACGGUACCUGCAGAAGAAGCGACGGCUAAAUACGUG